AGACGGGAUAGUUUUAGAAAUAGAAGAUAAUACCGGAUACGACCACUACCGUUAGAGGUAGUGAGGAAAGGGGUACGGCCCCGCCUGAGGAAUGGCCCGCGGCCCAUUAGCUAGUUGGUGAGGUAACGGCCCACCAAGGCGAUGAUGGGUANCCGGCCUAAGAGGGUGAACGGUCNCNUUGGGACUGAGAUACGGCCCAGNUNCCUACGGGAGGCAGCAGCUAAGAAUAUUCCGCAAUGGGCGAAAGCCUGACGGAGCGACGCCGCGUGGAUGAUGAAGGCCGUGAGGUUGUAAAANCCUUUUGCGGGCGAAGAAUAAGGUGUGGAGGGAAUGCCAUACUGAUGACGCUAGCCCGCGAAUAAGCCCCGGCUAAUUAAGCGG
rnacentral:rRNA from 1 species